rnacentral:rRNA from 1 species
GACGUAGGGUGCAAGCGUUGUCCGGAUUUACUGGGCGUAAAGAGCGCGUAGGCGGUCUGUUAAGUGUAGAGUGAAAUCUCUGGGCUCACCCCGGAAACUGCUCUGCAUACUGGCAGACUUGAGGGAAGCAGAGGUUUGUGGAAUUCCUGGUGUAGCGGUGAAAUGCGUUGAUAUCAGGAGGAACACCCAUGGCGAAGGCAGCAAACUGGGCUUCAUCUGACGCUGAUGACGCGAAAGCGUGGGUAGCAAACAGG